GGCGCCUUGGCUGAGUGAUAAAGCGUUUGGCUUCGGAACCGAGGGGUCCCGGGUUCGAAUCCUGGGUCCACCA
rnacentral:tRNA from 1 species